AAAAAAAGAAGAAUCCUUUAACCCUGUCAGACUGGUCUUCUCACUGUCCCAGAACAUGUCACACCAUUCACCCCUGCAUGGAAUGCUCUCCCUUGCCAUUCUUACUUCAUGCAUAGCUAAGUCUUAUUCACAUUCCAGCAUUUAGCCCAAUCCCUUAAUCGAUAAAGGCCUUCCUUAGCCACCAAAGCUCAGACUCUUCAGAAAUUUCCUCCACAUGUGAACUGUAGAAUAUUGGUACUAAUCAUCAGGCAUUUAUGAUAUGCUACUUUUGGGGGUUACAUAUCUUUUCAUUCUAUUUAUCUCCAAUUACAUCAUUAUUCUUGGAAUGAAUUAUAUGUAGUCCUCAGUAUACACAGUUUCUAGCAAAAAGCUUUAAGUAAUACCUGUUGAUUGGUAAUUUGUUAAUUGUUAAUUUGCAAUAACUGAAGGCAUAACAUCAUUUAAUAUUUUCAACUAUUACUUUAAAAUAUCCAUUUAGACAACUGGAAUCUUAGAAUAUAUGACUUUAGAAGCCAUGUAGAACAAUAUUCCAGAUGCACAACAUCUCUUUACAAGAACCUAAUCAGUGAAUUUUUAACUCCAGUUUCAGUAAGUUCACAUGACCAGAAACUCAUUACCUUCUUUGGGAACCAUUUGAUGUCUAAGUAGCAGUUCCAUAAUGCAACUAUCAAUACCAGGAGAUUAACACAUGAUAUACUGCUAAGAUUUAAUUCUUGAACCCCAUUCAAAGUCUACCAAAUGCCCCAAUAAAUGUCCCUUAUAGCAAAAGGAUACAGUUCAACAUCAUGCUUCACCUUUAGUUGUUAUGUCUUGUUAUUCUUAUUGCUUCUAGAAUACUUCCUCAGUCUUUCUUGGAAUUUAACAUUUUUGAAGGUUACAGGCUACUUAAAGACUGGCCUUCAAUUUGAGCUUGCUAGGUGUUUCCUCUGAUUAGAUUCAGGUUAUGCAUCUUUAGCAGGAAUGUCACAGAGGAAGUAAUGCUGUGUUUUUCUCAUUGCACCUGAUCACAUGGUACAUGAUUCUGAUCUGUCCCGUUUCUGAUAUUGUUCAUUUUGAUCACUUCAUUAAGGUAGCAUCUGUCAGGCUUCUCCACUGUAACAAUAAUCUUUUUUUCUUUGAUAUUAAUUAAUUGAACAUUUUGUAGGGAGAUACUAAGUAAAUAUCCCAUUCCUCAUCAAACUUCAAAAGUUAUUUAUUACUUCAUGUUAAGUAUGGACUCAUGGUUUCCGAUUUCACUUUGAUGAUUAAACUGACCCAGAUUUAGCUAGUGGGUACUCACUUAAGCUACUUUCUGAAUCUGUUUUACAUUUUUCAUCAUUCUUUGAGGAUUUCCUAGAUUUCUGAUACAAGAUCCCCCCGGCUCACCUUGUAUUAAUAUUUACUCUGCCACAACCCUGGAAUUAUCCAUUUCUCCACAGAGCCCUGAUUUCUUUUAGUGGAGGAUGGUCUAGGUGUAACCAUUGCUAUUAUAUUAAGGUAUCACUGCUCCCAGGUCCUCACAAUGGACAGAGAUUGGGAAUAUAUAAUGUAUGGAUAUACGUGCGUACACAUUCACAUUUAUAUUUACUCCUCUGUCUAGCUGUAUAUUGAAAACUUCUGAUUCCAAUCUAGCUACAAAAGGUUGAUUGUACUUAUCCCCUUUCCAUAUCUGGAGCUCUCUUUUAUGACCAUGAGAAACCCGACUCCAUUAUCCUUAACAUAUUUACUUAUUUGUCAAUCUCCCUGUUUAUCACUUAUCUCCCACUGCUGUCACCAAGACCAUGCCAGCAUGGAUGCUCUUUCUCCAUACUCAGGUCCUCAUGCAUUGGCCCCCUCUUUACUCAACUUGGCUCCAAACUCUAAUCUGGGCCCCUGUGGCUCCCCUUCCCCUGGGAUGGAUGCCUACCAUGCUGUGCCCCAACCCAAUGGCUUUAGGACCAAAUUCUUCAGGAGGAAGAGAAGAGGAGGAAGAAAAGGAGCAGAAAGAUAAAUCUACAUCUCUUCACUUUUACCCACUGGCAUGAACUCUGUCUUUUGGGGUCUCCCAUAAUAAACAUAAUCAAUUCAUAUGCAAGUAUUUGAGGUUGGUGUUCACAUCUUGUCUUGUUCCUUCAGUCAUUCCUUAAAUGACGUAUUUUCAAGUAACCUCAUCAUAUUGAGCAUUCUUUUCUGAAUAAAUCCUAUUCUGUCUACAUAGCUUGUAAAACUGUAGAGGAAGCACUUUUGGUUGCCUAUCCACUAUCCUAUCCUGCCCCUAAAAUUCCUUCUUUCCUAAAGAAGCCUGAUUUUGUUCAGGUAUCCACUCCCUUCCAUAGAGCUAUAUGCUGCAGAAAAUGUGAAAUCUACCAUCAGCGCCUGACUAUUCAAUCAUGAUAACCACAUUCCUCUUACCAGUGACAGGUUUAAUAAUGGGCAUGUGACCAAAUGCUAACUAAUGAAACAUGUAAGGAAGUCUUCUGGGGGGCUUCCUAAGCAAGGAGCACAACACAAGCACACAGCUCACUCUCCUUCCUCAGGACAUUACUGUGCCUGGGUGAGAUGCACAGAACUGUUGCAACGACCUUCCACCAGCUGAGGAUGAAACCAGCACAACAAGAAGGGCAGGACCAAAGGAUCACAGACAAGUGGAGGCAGAGUUCUUAGGGACUGGCCAGAGUCUCUCUUAUCAUUAGCCUUCUUGUUGUGUGAGAUAACAUGUUUCUUUUCUGUUUAAGCCAGUUUGGUCCGGUUUUCUUUUUAGCUGCCCCCAACAGCAUUCUGACUGAUACAGAGUGAAGCCAGCAACCACACAACCCUCCAGGAGAGGUGUGAUAAGCUAGGGAACUUCCAAGUCCCUGUAUUUCCUCUGACACAGCCCAGGUCAAUGGUGACACAUAACAUAGACUACUAAGACGUCCACCUUUCUCACACCUACAACAAUGUUAUUUUAUAUUUGUAUUGUUAAAGUGUUGCCCUUCAACAGAGAACUAGAGGUUUACUUAUUAUUUACAUUGUUAGCUUUUUCAUUGUUUCAACUUGUUCAGGUCUUUUAAGUGAGAAUAAUAAAGGAAACUGAAGAGUUGUUACUUGACUGCAAAGCAACAGAGCCAGGAAUAGGGCAAAAACAGAAUAAUAAACACAAAGCUAGGAGACAGGAGACUUUUGCCCCCAUAGUAAAUGUGCCACUAGACUAGUAAAAAGUCCUGACUUUCUAUGUUUCUAACUUCAUGCAUCUAUACAACAGUGAGGAACCUCAAGAUUCCCUUCUGGCAUUAAAAUUCUAUGACUCAAGAGACUUCAUCAGAGAAUUCAUGGCUCAGAAUUUCUCUCUGGCUUGAAGCAUAAAAUCAAGAAAAGUAAAUCCCCCCCAAAUCAGUGGUAGCCCAUUAGUCAUUAUCAAGAUUUACUUAUUUCAAAUAAACAAAACACUGCCCUUGGGCUACUCACUCCAA